GUUGAAUCAGAUGGCAAUGCAGGAGUUGCUGAGGAGACAGCUGCAGGAGUGCUUAGGUCAAGAAGCAACAGGCCUCGGGGGCUGAUGACUACAAAGCAAGUCCCAUCUCUUGUCUGCAUCAGGAAGACUGCCAAGCUCAGGACUCAGAAGCAACUGGAAAGGUGACCAGAACAUCCGAAAAAUACCAAAAUAAACCUCCCCAGUUGGGGAUGGCCUGCCCUCCUGGUGGAACAACAGGAAAAGUGGAAAAUGAAGAGAGAGCCUGGAUGCUGCCUGAGAAGAUAAUACAAUGCAGAAAGAAACAAAGAAGUUCAUAUUCUAGCAGGAGAAAUCAGAACUGCUGUAAGCAAUGAUGAUGUGUGAUGGUGCCCUGUUGCAGGGGCCGAUGGUACAAGCAUGAGGAAAUCUGCACCCAGUGGCUGCUUAAGCUAAAAUGAGAUUGGCCACCAAUAUUAACCAUCUUUUGAGUAGAAUUAGUAAUGGAAAACAACAUCCAGAGAGAAUUUUGAGAGAUAAACAGAAGGCUCAGAAACAUCAGAAAGGAAGGGUCUUUGAAACUGAGAAAAACUGACUGAAAGCCAUCAUCACUUAAACUAUUCUAAUGGAACUGGGACUGCAUUAACUUGGUAAACCAAAAUUUACCCAUAUAAUACAUGACUGUAAUUAAUCUAUUACCAGUGAAGAUUGCUAUUUGGAUUAAAAUAUAAGUAUUUAGCUGCUUGUUGCAAAAAACUGUUGUCUAAAAAAGUUAUCUAAUAACAUGAAGUAAAUUUUCAUACUAA